rnacentral:rRNA from 1 species
CCUACGGGAGGCAGCAGUAGGGAAUAUUGCUCAAUGGGGGAAACCCUGAAGCAGCAACGCCGCGUGGAGGAUGAAGGUUUUCGGAUUGUAAACUCCUUUUUUUAGAGAAGAAAAUGACGGUAUCUAACGAAUAAGCACUGGCUAACUCCGUGCCAGCAGCCGCGGUAAUACGGAGGCUGCAAGCGUUACUCGGAAUCACUGGGCGUAAAGAGCGCGUAGGCGGGAUAGCAAGUCAGAUGUGAAAUCCUAUGGCUUAACCAUAGAACUGCAUUUGAAACUGUUAUUAGAGAGUAUGGGAGAGGUAGGUGGAAUUCGUGGUGUAGGGGUGAAAUGCUUAGAGAUCAAGAAGAAUACUGAUUGCGAAGGCGGCCUGCUAGACCAUAACUGACGCUGAUGCUCGAAAGCGUGGGUAGCAAACAGGAUUAGAUACCCGAGUAGUC